rnacentral:lncRNA from 1 species
CAGCCCUGGGAGCACAGGUGAAGGCAAUUCAUGUGUGUGACUGGAAGAGGAGGAGCCUGCCUGCACCUCUCUUAGACCCCAUUUAAGGACUGACUGCUACUGGGGAAGGUUCUCUUUCUGGAGAUCCCCUCUUGGUGAAGUUUUCUACUGUGAACCUGGAAUCUUAUGAUACGGGUCAUCUGUUCCAUGAAGAUAUAGCCAUCUGGGAAAUUAGCAUAUAUAUUUUAUGAAGCAGAGCAGAGCUCCCUCUUGUACUGACUCAGAUGCUGAAGUCCCAGAUUCACAGUAUCCUGCCUAGCCAGCACAGCACAGCUUGUACAGCUUCUGUUACCAGUGGCUUACCUCUCCCCUGCAUGAAGAGCAAACCUACAUUGAAGUGAUGCUGAUACAGCCAUUUGCGAACCCAACCAGCUUCAUGAUGGAGGCAAGCUAACCUGACUGUGGGUUGAACAGGAGAGGGUGGCUUGGCUUUCAGCUAGUUGAAUGAGCUGAAAUGACUCUAGAGCUGCGCAGUCACUGCUGCUGGAAUCAGGAAAGCAGGUCAGGCAUGUGACAUGGGGCAGGGAAGUCCCUUUCAGCAGCAGGAACGUUGGAUAAGCUCAGAUUAAUGGUGAAAGCGCUGUUUAAUAACAAAAGAACAGUGGAGAGAGUGCACCCUGAGAUCCAGCCCCAACGGCAAGAGGGAAAGACAAAAGUCC